rnacentral:sRNA from 1 species
CCCAGUGAGGCCUACAGUCUGAGCAGACAGCAUGGCCUGCCAUUGGCAGUGAACACCAUGUCUGCAGGAGGUGGCCGGGCCUUUGCUUGGCAGGUGUUCCCCCCCAUGCCCACUUGCCGGGUCUAUGGCACAGUGGCACACCAAGAUGAGCACCUGCUGGUGUUGGGGGGUUGUGGCCGGGCUGGACUGCCCCUGGACACUGCUGAGACACUGGACAUGGCCUCGCACACAUGGCUGGCACUGGCACCCCUGCCCACUGCCCGGGCUGGCGCAGCUGCGGUAGUUCUGGGCAAGCAGGUGCUAGUGGUGGGUGGUGUGGAUGAGGUCCAGAGCCCAGUAGCUGCUGUAGAGGCCUUCCUGAUGGAUGAGGGCCGCUGGGAGCGUCGGGCCACCCUCCCUCAAGCAGCCAUGGGGGUUGCAACUGUGGAGAGAGGUGAGUGGCCUCCCAAGGAAGGCACUUCAGAUGGUAUGGUGUAUGCUCUGGGGGGAAUGGGCCCUGACACGGCCCCCCAGGCCCAGGUACGUGUGUAUGAGCCCCGUCGGGACUGCUGGCUUUCACUACCCUCCAUGCCCACACCCUGCUACGGGGCCUCCACCUUCCUGCACGGGAACAAGAUCUAUGUCCUGGGGGGCCGCCAGGGCAAGCUCCCGGUGACUGCUUUUGAAGCCUUUGAUCUGGAGGCCCGUACAUGGACCCGGCAUCCAAGCCUACCCAGCCGUCGGGCCUUUGCUGGCUGCGCCAUGGCUGAAGGCAGCGUCUUUAGCCUGGGUGGCCUGCAGCAGCCUGGGCCCCACAACUUCUACUCUCGCCCACACUUUGUCAACACUGUGGAGAUGUUUGACCUGGAGCAUG